rnacentral:hammerhead_ribozyme from 1 species
AUCCAGCUGACGAGUCCCAAAUGGAACAAAAACAUGCGUCCUGGAU